rnacentral:rRNA from 1 species
UACGUAGGGGGCUAGCGUUAUCCGGAAUUACUGGGCGUAAAGCGUGCGUAGACGGUUAUGUAAGUCGGGUGUGAAAGCCCCGGGCUCAACCCGGGAACUGCGUCCGAUACUGGAAGGCUUGAAUCCGGGAGAGGGAUGCGGAAUUCCAGGUGUAGCGGUGAAAUGCGUAGAUAUCUGGAGGAACACCGGUGGCGAAGGCGGCAUCCUGGACCGGCAUUGACGCUGAGGCGCGAAAGCCAGGGGAGCAAACGGG